rnacentral:rRNA from 1 species
UACAUAGCCGACCGGAGAGGGGUGAUCGGCCACNCNGGGACUGAGACACGGCCCAGACUCCUACGGGAGGCANCAGUAGGGAAUNUUCGGCAAUGGGGGGAACCCUGACCGAGCAACGCCGCGUGAGUGAAGAAGGUUUUCGGAUCGUAAAGCUCUGUUGUUAAGGAAGAANGAGUGUGAGAAUGGAAAGUUCAUACUGUGACGGUACUUANCCAGAAAGGNACGGCUAACUACNUGCCAGCAGCCGCGGUAAUAGGUAGGUCCCGAGCGUUGUCCGGAUUUAUUGGGCGUAAAGCGAGCGCAGGCGGUUAGAUAAGUCUGAAGUUNAAGGCAGUGGCUCAACCAUUGUAGGCUUUGGAAACUGUUUAACUUGAGUGCAGAAGGGGAGAGUGGAAUUCCAUGGGUANCGGUGAAAUGCGUAGAUAUAUGGAGGAACACCGGUGGGGAAAGCGGCUCUCUGGUCUGUAACUGACGCUGAGGCUCGAAAGCGGGGGGAGCGAACAGG